rnacentral:rRNA from 1 species
GACGAACGCUGGCGGCGUGCCUAAUACAUGCAAGUUGAGCGCUGAAGGUUGGUACUUGUACCAACUGGAUGAGCAGCGAACGGGUGAGUAACGCGUGGGGAAUCUGCCUUUGAGCGGGGGACAACAUUUGGAAACGAAUGCUAAUACCGCAUAAAAACUUUAAACACAAGUUUUAAGUUUGAAAGAUGCAAUUGCACCACUCAAAGAUGAUCCCGCGUUGUAUUAGCUAGUUGGUGAGGUAAAGGCUCACCAAGGCGAUGAUACAUAGCCGACCUGAGAGGGUGAUCGGCCACAUUGGGACUGAGACACGGCCCAAACUCCUACGGGAGGCAGCAGUAGGGAAUCUUCGGCAAUGGACGAAAGUCUGACCGAGCAACGCCGCGUGAGUGAAGAAGGUUUUCGGAUCGUAAAACUCUGUUGGUAGAGAAGAACGUUGGUGAGAGUGGAAAGCUCAUCAAGUGACGGUAACUACCCAGAAAGGGACGGCUAACUACGUG